GGCACGGUGCCCUCGUGUGACUCCUUGGAAUCACGAUUCCUCCCUGUGCUGUUGGGCUGGUCCGUUCCUCUAUGGCUUGGAAUCGGUGCCUUAGAAGGGAAGAAAUCCAAGGGCUGCUGUGUGCCCCGGAGUCCAGCAGCAGCUGCCAAGCUGCCAUCCAGCCCGCGAGCCCCACACCCCCUUUGUGACGUCACAAGCGGACAGCGGAGCCACCAGUUUGCUGGGUGGCAGGCCCAGGGAUCCACGUAGCUGGGAGCACCUCGCAGGCUUUAGGGUAUUUCUCUACCCAGCGCCUGGGAGGCAGGGCAGGGCUGAGUGACUGGCCCAAGGUCACACAGGGAGACUGGGGCAGAGCAGGGAACAGAACCGGGGAUUCCCCUGGAACCAGGCUACAAUCCCCCAUCUUAUCCCUGAUAGAGAUAUUGACCAGCACGGGGCUGAGAACAGAUCCCUGCAGCCCCCCCCCCAGAAACACCCCCAGCGGCCCAGGGCCCUAGGCUAGACCUAGGGUCAGUUCUCAGCUCUAUCCUGGCCUCCCUUGGGGACCUCAUGUGAGUCUGUGGGCUCAGUUCCCACCUGCCCAGGAUAGCACCUAUCUGCCGCACGGGGGUUGGGCGAGAAAUGUUACAGCUUGGUGGGUGCUUGGAUCAGUGACGGGCCCUGGGACUGAAUGGAAAGAGUCACUGGCUGGCUCCAGAGGAGAGAAGAUGCCGCGUCAUGGAGAGGGCUGGGAAGCUAGACUGUAGUCAGGAAGGGAGGCACUUCUCAG